UGGGGAAUAUUGGACAAUGGGCGAAAGCCUGAUCCAGCCAUGCCGCGUGUGUGAAGAAGGUCUUCGGAUUGUAAAGCACUUUAAGUUGGGAGGAAGGGCAUUAACCUAAUACGUUAGUGUUUUGACGUUACCGACAGAAUAAGCACCGGCUAACUCUGUGCCAGCAGCCGCGGAAAUACAGAGGGGGCAAGCGUUAAUCGGAAUUAAUGGGCGUAAAGCGCGCGUAGGUGGUUUGUUAAGUUGGAUGUGAAAUCCCCGGGCUCAACCUGGGAACUGCAUUCAAAACUGACUGACUAGAGUAUGGUAGAGGGUGGUGGAAUUUCCUGUGUAGCGGUGAAAUGCGUAGAUAUAGGAAGGAACACCAGUGGCGAAGGCGACCACCUGGACUAAUACUGACACUGAGGUGCGAAAGCGUGGGGAGCAAACA
rnacentral:rRNA from 1 species